AGCGGAAACGAGUUAUCUGAACCUUCGGGGAACGAUAACGGCGUCGAGCGGCGGACGGGUGAGUAAUGCCUGGGAAAUUGCCCUGAUGUGGGGGAUAACUAUUGGAAACGAUAGCUAAUACCGCAUAACGUCUACGGACCAAAGAGGGGGACCUUCGGGCCUCUCGCUUCAGGAUAUGCCCAGGUGGGAUUAGCUAGUUGGUGAGGUAAUGGCUCACCAAGGCGACGAUCCCUAGCUGGUCUGAGAGGAUGAUCAGCCACACUGGAACUGAGACACGGUCCAGACUCCUACGGGAGGCAGCAGUGGGGAAUAUUGCACAAUGGGCGCAAGCCUGAUGCAGCCAUGCCGCGUGUAUGAAGAAGGCCUUCGGGUUGUAAAGUACUUUCAGUCGUGAGGAAGGCAAUAUAGUUAAUAG
rnacentral:rRNA from 1 species